GAUGAACGCUGGCGGCGUGCCUAAUACAUGCAAGUCGAGCGAACGGACGAGAAGCUUGCUUCUCUGAUGUUAGCGGCGGACGGGUGAGUAACACGUGGAUAACCUACCUAUAAGACUGGGAUAACUUCGGGAAACCGGAGCUAAUACCGGAUAAUAUUUUGAACCGCAUGGUUCAAAAGUGAAAGACGGUCUUGCUGUCACUUAUAGAUGGAUCCGAGCUGCAUGAGCUAGUUGGUAAGGUAACGGCAUACCAAGGCAACGAUGCAUAGCCGACCUGAGAGGGUGGUCGGCCACACUGGAACUGAGACACGGUCCAGACUCCUACGGGAGGCAGCAGUAGGGAAUCUUCCGCAAUGGGCGAAAGCCUGACGGAGCAACGCCGCGUGAGUGAUGAAGGUCUUCGGAUCGUAAAACUCUGUUAUUAGGGAAGAACAUAUGUGUAAGUAACUGUGCACAUCUUGACGGUACCUAAUCAGAAAGCCACGGCUAACUACGUG
rnacentral:rRNA from 1 species